GGGGUGCGGGCUCGGCUGGCCCCGCCCCGCCGCGACCGCACCCUCCCGCAUCAGCACCAGUUUGGGGGCUGGGGAGCGCGCACGCUGGCAAGUCAAGACUUCCCCAAACGCGCGGGUUACACGGGCGCGAGCGGCAAGUGCGGCGACCCUCGAGGCGCCUACAACUUUCCUAAUCUCUGCCUGAGAUGCCGGAGAUAGUCCACGACGGUCAAGGGGGAGAUACCCUGAGGUUCCUGGAAUGGACGUUCACAUCCAGGAGAAACGCCGCUGCUUUCUGCGGAGAGGCACCUUUGUUCUAUUGACGUGUUAUUUUUGUUUAAGAAUCUUCUUUUUAAAAAGUCAUCCAUAUGUGUUCAGUGUGUAAUACACUAAUACGGUCUUGCGUACGAUUUUACGCAACUCAGGCAUCUCUAGAGUGAAAAGGAGACGGUACCACGUCCCCUCCCCGUUGCAGCCGCUCCCCGGGGGUAACCUCGAGUCUGCUGCGCUGCUUUCCAGCCCCUGCUCUGCGCUGUUAGGUGCACAAGGGCGGACUGCAAGUGGAUUCUCACGGGCUUUUCAAAAGAAUGUUUCACCAUGCAGCGCAUGUACACACUGGCGAGAACACGGCCGCUCCGGCAGCGGUAGAUCCCCCGAGGCUCCCGGAGUCCAGGGAAGGACUCUUACAGGGAACAGCAGAGAGCCACCCAAUCGCCGUGUGCAAAUCUGAAACCCCCGCUGGGGGCUGAAGUCAGCCUGAGCACACAGCUCACGCCCACAUUAGCAAUGCACGGUUAGAGAGACUGGCCGGUGCGUUUUAGACAGGGUGACGACCUUCCUGUUCUUACGGAAAACAAACUGUCUUGCAUUUUGAUAUGAUGAGAACUCUACGGAUUUGCGAAAUGAAAAGGCCGCCAGAAACACUUACACCCGCCACUCUGGGGAGCGAGCUCGUGCUCCGCCUUCUGCAGCAAUGCUGAAGCUUGUGCAGGAGGAAUGCAGGGCUGUCACCUCUGGUGAAAGGCACCAACGUCCGUCCGCAGAGCAUGCUCUCCUGGCACGCCAUUUUCCUGGUGGGCUUCGGAGUACUUCGUCAGCCUUGUGAACCGUGGGGUAGCUGGUCUCCAAGUCUGGACCCUUUGGAAGGAGCUCACUGGCUGAUAUAAAUAAAUUCUCAUUGAUCAGCUAGGGUUUCCCCUUGCUGACUAACUCACCAACAUCUUUGGAAAGUAAGAUGAUUCAUUAACACAUGAAAGCCAGAUUCCAUGACUCCUCCAAGCUCGCCUCUCUGGAAUACACCCAAUUCGAUGAAAAAAAAAAAUCAAUUCCUUUUCUAGCAGAGUUAACAUUAGAUGGCAUGAUCUUUUUUAUUUUGAUUUCUCAAUUGUUAAGCAUUUGUUGAGAACAAGGAAUACGGUACUUAAUUCAAAUAUUUUUAUAAAUGAACAAUAGUAUGUAAAAAAAAAUUCCCAUACCUCCUGCGUGGAGGGCUUGUUGAUUUUGGUUUCCAACCCAAAUUGGGUUUUAAAGGUACACCAAGCAUUGAAUCUAGUCCACAGAGGAGACAAGUUCAGCCAUGGACAGGAGUGGAGAGACCCAAAGAUCUACACUUGUCUGGAGGUACUGUUUGAGGGGUUCAAUUAUUUUUUAACAAAAAGAGUCCACUGGUAUUUAAAAAUAUAUAGAUCGUGUUGAGGUGGUGUAUCAGUUAUGGCAAGGUGGACUGCUGUAACAAAGACAUCCAACAAUUCUAUGACUUAAAGAAUAAGUUUCCAUUUUUUCUCUCCUGCAUAACAAUCCAGGUGGGCUUUCUAGGCUGGUGGGAGACUCAGCUCCAGGUGGUCCUUCAGGGACUCAGGUUCCUUCCAGCUCAUCGUUCCACCGUCCCCCAAAGUCUCAUUGUAAUCUGCAUCAUUGAAGCUGGUUUGCUGCCAAGCCUGGUUUGCAGCCUGUGGGAAGGGGAAAGAGUGUGGAGGAAUGAUGGUUUCUGCUUGCAUCAUCCUUUCUUCUAAUAGUGCACUGGAGAAAGUCACAUGUCCACACCUGGCUGCAAGGGAGGCUGGGAAAUUAAUGUAGUCAGGCAGCCGUUGUUCUGUUUCUAUGCAUCAAAGGAGCUUAGACUUUGGUGGACAGCUAGCAGCUGGGUGCAUCUUGUUGAGGAUAUAGCUGAACCUCAGUAGGGAAGGACUGGAAUUAGAGCUGGAAGCAACUGAGGAGAACAGGCUGAAAGAGGGCAAAAUCCUAGAGUCAUCCAUCUCUUAGCAAAUACCAUUGGUACCAACUCCCAAAUAAAUCCAGACUGCCCCCAUUUCUCUCCAUCUCACCUCCUACCCUAGUCCAAGCAGCCCUCAAGCCUUGCCUGGACCACUGUAGCAGCCCCACAGACUGGUCUUUCUGCCUUCAUCCUUGUGCUCUCAAAUCCAUUUUUUCACACAACAGCCAGCGUGAAGUCUAGAAGCAUCAAUGAGAUCAUGGAUCCUGUUGGAGAACUGCAAUGUCUUCCCAUAGCACCUAGAAUAAAAUCCCAGCUCCUUACCUGGUUUACCAACCCUCACGUGAUCCAGUCCCUGCCCCUCUCUGAACUUAUCCAACACUCUGCCCCUCUUUCACUUUAGCUACAUGGCCCAACUGUAUCUAAACAUGCCAUCUAAAGCUGGCUCCUGCCUCAGGGCCUUUGCACUAACUGUUUCCUAUGCCUGGAAUGCUCUCAUUACUUUCUCCUUCUUAUUCAGAUCUUAGUUAAAAUUGUCAGAAAGAUCUCUAUCAUGUCACUUACUUUAAUUCUCUGUAUAGCAGUUAUCACAAUAUGCUAAUUUUCAACUAAUUUAUUGUUAUCCAAUCCCCAGACCCCAUUACCUUAAGAAAUGUAUUCUUUGUAAGAGCAAAGAACUGUCUAUCUUGAUCUUUGAUGUAUUCCUAUCGCUUAGUAAUAUUUGGUGAAUGAAAUGGGUAAACCAGAAAAAAAGUGUGCUUACUGUUUGUAACCCUUCUAAAACUUAGCAAUAUAUUUUGAAUGCCUUUCCAACAAUUACACAACUAUCAUAUUAUAUUAUAUUAUCAUAUUAUAUUCCUCUGUUCCAUUACUUAGAUAUACCGUAAGUGAUUUAAACAAUUUCCUACUGUUGGAUAUUUAGUGAACAUCCUCAUAUAGAGACAUCUUUGCACAUUCUUCAUUAUUUCCUAGAAUACCUUUGCGCAUGUGAAAUGAUGGAGUCAAAGGAUAUGCAUGUUUUUGAGGUUUGAUAUAUAAAGCAAAACUGACUUCCAGAAAAA